rnacentral:rRNA from 1 species
AUGCACCGGAGAAAUCAUUGUGACUGGGUUGCAAUCCUUGAAAUUGACGACUUCAUGGAUAUCUACAGAGAGUAUGAAGCAUCUAUGGGUAUUGAAGAGCGCAUGAAGAAGGAGGAGGAGAAGCGAAAAGAGUUGAGAGAGAAGGAGAUUGACGAGGCUAGAAAGACCUUAUGGAUUGAGGACUUACUAAUCCCCAUCCAGUGCUUAGAUGGUGUCCCCUCAAUCCCCA